GACGAACGCUGGCGGCGUGCCUAACACAUGCAAGUCGAACGAGGUCCAUCUGGUGGCAACACCAGUGAAGACCUAGUGGCGAACGGGUGAGUAACACGUGAGGAACCUGCCCCGAAGACCGGGAUAACUCUCCGAAAGGAGUGCUAAUACCGGAUACCCCCCACCGAGCCGCAUGGUUUGGUGAGGAAAUGGAUUCCGCUUCGGGAGGGCCUCGCGGCCUAUCAGCUAGUUGGUGGGGUAACGCCCACCAAGGCAUCGACGGGUAGCUGGUCUGAGAGGACGAUCAGCCACACUGGGACUGAGACACGGCCCAGACUCCUACGGGAGGCAGCAGUGGGGAAUCUUGCGCAAUGGGCGAAAGCCUGACGCAGCAACGCCGCGUGGGGGAUGAAGGGCUCUCGGGUUGUAAACCCUUUCAGCCAGGGACGAAUCAAGACGGUACCUGCAGAAGAAGCCCCGGUAACUACGUG
rnacentral:rRNA from 1 species